rnacentral:lncRNA from 10 species
GCCGUUUAGUAAAUCAGAGCACAAGAUGGGGAGUGUGAUGGAAGGAUAUUUUUGGAGGAGGAGGGGAUAGUGAUUCCUCUGUCUCAGGGAGCAUCCAGCAGACGGGAAGACAGAUGAUGCUGGAGACUGAGGAGCGACCUGCUGGAAGGAGAACAGUCCUUGGGGCGGAAUUCUGAGUGGGAUCCAACACAUUCAACAGCCGAUUGUGGAAUGAACAAACAACAGCUCAGCGCUUCCUUCUCCAAUGGGAUUAACUCUGCUUUCUCCUGCCCAGAGGGGGGGUUGGCCGCAGAGGAGCCAGGACAGUGCUCUGUCCCCUGUGUUCCAGUCCACAUCCCCCUCACCCCCGCCUGUCCUCAUGGUCUACGUGCCCAUGGGGAUACACUGGCCUGUGCAUUGCUUCCUGCUGGGUCUCAGACUCGGGGCUGUGGCAGAUGGGGACAGGGCCUGUCCUGGCACCAUCUGCCAAUUCCCUUUGUACUCCCAGUCCAUGAGGAAGUUGACUCUGCCCUGAAAACGACUGUUCCUGUGGUCCAUAAACAAAGGAAUGGUGAGCCAGGCAUGAGCUGUGGGCCCCAGGGGUGGGGCUGGGGGUCACCGUAGCAGAGGUAGCUGAGACUGUGGGAGGGAGGCUGGUGCCUCCUUGGUCCCCCUGAGGAUUUCAUGCCUGAUUUCUGGCACUGCCCAGCCUCUGCUCCAACCUCUCUGGAGGCAAAGGAGGUAACAGGAGGGCACAAGGCCAGGAAGUGUCAUUGGGAGCAAGGAAGGCGGCUGGUGGGCUAGCAGGAAAUGGGAUGGUCUGUGAGACCAGAUUAGUAGCAGAGGAGGAAGCAACAGUGGAGGCAGUGGGGGUGGGAUGGCGGGUGGGACGACAAGGCCUGGGGACGCCCACCUGGCCUCUGCCAGGAGGAAGCCUGACCCGACAGGGAGCGCUGCUUGGGGAGGUACAGGUGUGGGGGUUGCAGACCCAGGUUUGGAUCCUAGCAUGACCCGUUGCUGCCUGCAUGACCUGGGCAGCCGACUUGCCUCUCUGAGCUUCUUUCCUCACCUGUGAAAUGAGUUAUCUGUUCAGACUUUGCAGGCCGUUUGGAAGAUGAAAUGAGACAAUGAAAAUAAAUGACAGGACCAGCAAGCCUUAUCGAGU